rnacentral:rRNA from 1 species
CCUACGGGUGGCAGCAGUGGGGAAUAUUGGACAAUGGGGGCAACCCUGAUCCAGCCAUGCCGCGUGUGUGAAGAAGGCCCUCGGGUUGUAAAGCACUUUCAGUGAGGAAGAACGCCUGGUGGUUAAUACCCAUCAGGAAAGACAUCACUCACAGAAGAAGCACCGGCUAACUCCGUGCCAGCAGCCGCGGUAAUACGGAGGGUGCGAGCGUUAAUCGGAAUUACUGGGCGUAAAGCGCGCGUAGGUGGCUUGAUAAGCCGGUUGUGAAAGCCCCGGGCUCAACCUGGGAACGGCAUCCGGAACUGUCAAGCUAGAGUGCAGGAGAGGAAGGUAGAAUUCCCGGUGUAGAGGUGAAAUGCGUAGAGAUCGGGAGGAAUACCAGUGGCGAAGGCGGCCUUCUGGACUGACACUGACACUGAGGUGCGAAAGCGUGGGUAGCAAACAGGAUUAGAUACCCGGGUAGUC